rnacentral:rRNA from 1 species
UGGGAAACUGGGUCUAAUACCGAAUAUGACCACGCUCUUCAUGGGGUGUGGUGGAAAGCUUUUGCGGUGUGGGAUGGGCCCGCGGCCUAUCAGCUUGUUGGUGGGGUAAUGGCCUACCAAGGCGACGACGGGUAGCCGGCCUGAGAGGGUGACCGGCCACACUGGGACUGAGAUACGGCCCAGACUCCUACGGGAGGCAGCAGUGGGGAAUAUUGCACAAUGGGCGCAAGCCUGAUGCAGCGACGCCGCGUGAGGGAUGACGGCCUUCGGGUUGUAAACCUCUUUCACCAGGGACGAAGCGCAAGUGACGGUACCUGGAGAAGAAGCACCGGCCAACUACGUGCCAGCAGCCGCGGUAAUACGUAGGGUGCGAGCGUUGUCCGGAAUUACUGGGCGUAAAGAGCUCGUAGGUGGUUUGUCGCGUUGUUCGUGAAAACUCACAGCUUAACUGUGGGCGUGCGGGCGAUACGGGCAGACUAGAGUACUGCAGGGGAGACUGGAAUUCCUGGUGUAGCGGUGGAAUGCGCAGAUAUCAGGAGGAACACCGGUGGCGAAGGCGGGUNCUNCUGGGCAGUAACUGACGCUGAGGAGCGAAAGCGUGGGGAG